GACAUUUCACACAUGCAGACAACAUGCUGCUGCUUACCUUUCUUGUUGCAACUUCAUUUUGGUCCCGUGGAAAUGCACAGGCUGCACCAGUGCAAAGCCCAGCAGAGCGCAGGCUGGUGGAGGGCAGCUCAGUCACCAUGACAUGCCAGCUGAGUAGUGGCACCGUUGUGCACUGGUACAGGCAGCUUCCUGGGGAGCCACCCAAGAGGAUACUGUACAUGUCUGGAUACUCACCUACCUUUGAUGACAGCAACGAUAGGCAGAAGUUUCAAGUGCAGAGAAAUCCUUCCAACUCUGUUCUGACAAUAAAGAAAUCUACUAGGAGGGAUACCGGUACUUACUAUUGUGCAUACUGGUAUUAUCAAGGCUUCACAGAGUUAGAUGGGCAAAGAUAAGCCAUACAAAAAGGCAUUUGGCACUCUGAACCUCAAGCUCUGAACUCCCGCCAGAUGCAUAUACAUCUCUAUGCCACCUUUCUCUGGUGAUUUUCUGCAGCAGGAUAGGAAAAACAAAAUAUCAACAUGAAAAUGGAUUCUGUUAUCUAAUACCCUGAACAUUUUUUUCUGUAGUUACACAUACCUGUAUCAUGCAGAAACUGGACAUUCUUUGUCACUUAAGGUUAAAAACUGGUGACUUUGCUGUUAUGGUGAAGAAUUGACUGUACUCAGAGCACACACCUGACAGUGAGCACAGACUGCCUGUGCCCAUGAACAAAGAGGAGUUGUAAAUUUCCAUUCUCUAUUAAAAUCCCAGAAUCAAGGUACAAGCAGAAAAACAACUCAGUCUCCUCGGGGCCCUCACUUGAAAGGAGGCAUACAUGUGAGACAAUGAGAGAAAACUACAUGAGCUUCUAGAUCCUCCUUCGUUGUUGUCCUGCUGUCUUCCUUUACAUUUCACUUACUACCAACUCCUACUACAGCCCCAAAAGAUCAAUUUUACUGUCAAGAUUGCUCCCUCACCUGAUGCUUCCAGACAGAACUUCACUCUUCUUCUGUUGCCGGGUCUCCAAUGAGCCCUUUGAUUAAAGUGCAUUGAGUUCAACAAAUGAGUGUCUAUGGUCAAAGCCUCUUUUCACCAUGCAAGGCAAGCUGGCAAUUGUCCAUCAGUUAGCUCCAAAACUGAGUACUGAAUUUGAAUACAACACUCGUGCACAGUACCCUGUGAGGUACUGCACUUGAGAGUCUGGAACUUCAGCCACACAGUGAUUUCCAUAGUGCUG